rnacentral:lncRNA from 1 species
AUUGCAUGCCUCCCAUUUAUUAGACUCAACUGGAAGUGCCUGGAGGGAUGUUGACUGGUCUAUUUGAUUUGUGGCCACAACUGAUUCAUUUGGCCUAUGACCGAAGAUGAGUUUGGCUCUGGUCAUAAAUUCAUGGAUCAUCUAUGUGACAUCCUUUAAAGAGCCUUCCCUAUUUUUUUCUCAUUUUCCCCUUCUCUCUCUUCUUUUAAUGCCUAGUCAAAAAGUAG